AACCUAUGAGGCAGACAUUUCUGAACCAAAGUUUUAAACUGUUCCCAAGCCUCGUAGAAACUUUCUCCUUCCAUCUGUCUAAAGACAUCAAUCUCUAUUCUGAUCU
rfam:Gossypium hirsutum cultivar TM-1 chromosome 3, whole genome shotgun sequence